UAUGAAUCCCUCUCUCUGAGGAGCC
rnacentral:piRNA from 1 species